CCUCAUCUCGUGCGCUGUCAGCCUAACCCCUUGGUUCAGCAGCUUCUGGAGGGAAUGGGAGGCCAGGUGACAGCCGAACAGUUGUGGCGAUUUGUGAGAGAAGGUUCCAGAAGCAGAGGCCCUCAGGUCCUUUUGCAGACCACGGUGCGG